UUUCACGAUUGCGAGCCACGCUUCACGCAACCGUGUUUGCGUACUUGUGUUUCGAGUUGCGUGGUCGUGCGGAGUUAUAUUUACCAAAUUUAAAUCCGUUCCAACAUGCUGUCAAAAUUAAGUCAAUAUGGCUACUGGCAUAGCCACCCGUAAAGUAAAGGUGGCUAUGCUACUGGGUGUAAAAGAUAAAUCUUAUUCUAUCUGUUCUUAAUGAGUUUUAGAUAAUUUUAGUUGUAUUUCUUUGUAAUUUUGUGUUGUACAAAGAUUAAUUUAACAUUUUCUAUGGAAGUAUUAAUUUAGAAAGAUAAUAUGCUUCAUUGGUGUUGUGUUUUGAAGUGUGAAAUGCAAUUGUGAUAAAGUCAAGAUAAAGUUCACUUUUAAACUGAACUAAAUAAGGUAUCUGAGAGACAACAAUGGUUAAAUGCAAUACAAUGUACAGGUUUUACUAGCGAAAUGAAAAUUUUCCUGUCCUGUCUGCUGUAAUCAUUUUAUAUCUGGUAAGUUACAAUUACAACAGUAAUGAUUUUUGAAGAUGUUAACAUUUUAAUCUUAUAGGAAAACCAGCCGACUUAAUCGAUAAUAACAAUCUCCAGAUUGGGUUCCUUCAAUAAAUAUGGGCUAUAAACACAAUGAAAUAAGUUCCCCAAAAUCUAAAAUGGAGUGGUAUCAAAGGAGAAUUAAAGGAAAAAAUAUUCAUAUUGAAGUUAUUUAUAAGGCACUGGACUGUCUUAAAUUCUACAAUAAUACUAGAAUCAGCUGAGAGAAGUGGUCUACAAAAAACCAGGAAGGAAACGGAAUAUGUGGCUACGAAAGGCAAAAGAAAGGUUUACAAAGCAAAUGUGACACAUUUUUUUGAAAUAUUUAGGAAUAUCAGUAAAUUGCAUUAAAAAAAUGUAUGGAAAGAUUUUGUUCAAUAAAAAUGUUUAUAUUUA
rnacentral:lncRNA from 1 species